CAGUUUCACCAGAAUCAGUGAAAUAGUUGCUGCUGUGUGACUUAGUGCCGUGAAGCGUUACGUACUUCUCAGAGUUACACAGUGUGAGAACAGACGUACGAUGUUCACGACGUUCGUUUAUCAGAGCAACGUUACGUUUUGGUUGACAUAAGUAACCGGACAGGACGCGACCUCACUUCGGUUCUCUAUAAUCCAUUCACGGUAUCAUGGGGGUUGUACUGAGGCAGAACAGUUUGAAAUGAGUCUGACAGGAAGUCAGACAUCCCGUCACACACUGGACCUUUAAAAUCCACAGUACACUGUAAAAAAACAUCAACUCUCCGGAGAUAUUUAACCAGAUUGUUCGUCCUUUUUCUCACUGUAUCGUCGUCUUUGUACCGCAGAUGCUUGAGUUGCUCAUUCAUCUGCACACAGUGUAACAUUUCAUCGUUUCUGAUUAAACGUCUCGCCUCCGGCGCCCGAACGCCGCUCCCUAACUAACUUUGUGUGUUUGUGCAGAUAGCAUGCAGCGCUGAGCUUCUUUUACAGUGUGUGUGCGAUCCCGUGACAUCGAUGUUAAUUCAACACACCUCGAGUGUGUGAAGCCCAGAGAUGAUCCGGGGCCGGCUUUAAAGCGCUUUGGGCUCCUCAUCAAACAGAAUGGAGAUCCGAACAUGACGGAUGACGGAUGAAGGAUGGACUUUUCCAGGGAUGAAAGCGGAGAAUGAAGAUGUGUGCACACAGAUCACACAGCUGUGGACAGAAACAAAAGCUCUGUACUGUACACGAGACUUUCUGUGUUUGUAAUUCUGGUUUUACAUCACGCCCUUCAUCUCUUACAGCUCCCCUCCAUCCAUCCAUCCAUCCAUCCAUCCAUCCAUCCAUCCAUCCAUCCAUCCAUCCAUCCGUAAUUAAAGCAUCGCAGGGCGACUCAGCAUGUUUGCAGCUCCAAACAGGCUGCGGAGAGAUAACGUGUCUGAACUUCAAUACCCAGAAACCCUUUCAGGCGACAUCAGUGAGCGGAGCGACAUUCUCCGAUACCAGAAAAGGAGAGCAAAGAUAACAUGCUGUUUUUGGAGGAAGAGGUCGUUUCUGCAAGUCUUACUGCACCAAACGCCACCAAGGAGCUGUUGGCUGAACGUGCCUGGAAUAAAGCAAGCGGCGUGGACUCGUACAGCGUGUGCCCGACUGUAAUGAGAACCACCAGCUGAACGUUCUGCUGCCUUCUCUAACAGCAGCUCAAUGCAAGUACAAAAGCUGAACACAAGGCCUGAGUUUGAUUGAAUCUUCUCUCGGGCUCCUCGCCUCAGCUUCUUUACUCUUGACAAGAUAAAGAUGACACACACACACACACACACACUUCAUGGAGUGGAUUCCAGGAACACUAUUUGUGCAUUAAGGCUGUUAUGUGAAACCUCGACUCCUCAUGUUCAUGCAGAACCACCACAGGGAUGUUUUACCCUCGGGGCCUCCUGGAAUAUCUCCUGUGUGGAUGCUGUCCUACACCGAGCUCACUGCCUCCUGACCUCCUGCUGCUGUUUGCAGAGGGAGCCAAAGAAAGUGUGGACUGUGAUGUAACCUGACAUAAAUCUGACAUGUGGGAAU